UACGUAGGGGGCAAGCGUUGUCCGGAAUCAUUGGGCGUAAAGAGCGUGUAGGCGGCCCGGUAAGUCCGCUGUGAAAGUCGGGGGCUCAACCCUCGAAUGCCGGUGGAUACUGUCGGGCUAGAGUGCGGAAGAGGCGAGUGGAAUUCCUGGUGUAGCGGUGAAAUGCGCAGAUAUCAGGAGGAACACCAAUUGCGAAGGCGGCUCACUGGGCUGACCUUGACGCUGAGGCGCGAAGGCGUGGGGAGCGAACGGG
rnacentral:rRNA from 1 species